ensembl:rRNA 5S_rRNA 5S ribosomal RNA
GCUUACGGCCACACCGCCUGGUUCACACCUGAUCUCGGAAGCUAAGAUAGGUUGGGCCUGGUUAGCACUUGGAUGGGAGACCGCCUGGGAAUACCAGGUGCUGCAAGCU